AUAAAUUUCUACAACUAACCUACAUUAUUAGGGAUUAAACAAAUACCUAGCCUACAAAGAUUGAUCAAUUUAGAUUACAAAACCAAGAUUUGAUGACACUUAUUUAUUGUUGUCUAAGCUGCAAAGAUCUUAAUACAAGCUAAUAAAACUAGAUAAUUAUCAGAAAUAAUACUACAAUUCUGGUCAUCCAUGGACAGUCUUUAUCUGUAUUUCCCAGUUCUGUUCCUAGUUCAUUAUAUCAUCAGCCGCCAUUUUCUUAACAAGUUACAAAACCUUCCACCUAGCCCAUUCCCAACACUCCCUUUUAUUGGCCAUCUCUACUUAUUGAGUAAACCUUUCCAUAGGGCUUUAUUCAAAGUCUCGAAUCGUUAUGGUUCAGUAGUGUUUCUUCAAUUUGGCUCUCGGCCUGUCCUCCUUGUUUCAUCACCUUUAGUAGCAGAAGACUGUUUUACUAAAAACGAUAUCAUCUUUGCCAAUCGUCCUGAUUUUCUCAGUGGUAAGUAUUUCGGGUACAAUUUUACUAGCCUCGCUUGGUCUUCUUAUGGAGAGCACUGGAGAAAUCUUCGAAGAAUUUCCACUCUUGAAGUUUUAUCUUCCUAUAGAAUUCAGACACUAUCAAGCAUCCGUUCUAAUGAAAUAAACUACCUGAUUCAUAGACUCUUUAGAGUCUCCAUAGAGAAUUCGGAAAAAAUUGUGGAGAUGAAAUAAUCUCUUUUUAACUUCACGUUCAACGUGAUAUCGAGAAUGAUUGCAGGGAAAAGAUACUAUGGAGAGAACUCAAAAGAAGCUAUGCUAUUCCAGGAUAUAUCAAAGGAUACAAUAAACACUACUCCAAAGGCUAAUAUUUUGGAUUUCUUGCCAUUUAUGAGGUGGUUUGGAUUGCAUAGUGUUGAGGAAAAGAUGAUGGAACUACAGAAGAAGAGAGAUAACUUUAUGCGAAAGGAAAUAGACGAGCAUCGUCGAUUAAAGACCAGUGGUUCUUUUCCUUCAGCAGAGGUUGUCGCAGGGAAGAAGAAAACUAUCAUGGAAGUAUUGUUAGAUUUACAGAAAACAGACCCCGAAUACUACACAGAUGAAACAAUUAGAAACCUACUGCUGAUCCUACUCCAAGCUGGAUCAGAUACUUCAGCAGUAACACUAGAAUGGGCUUUUUCACACUUGCUUGACAAUCCAGAAAUUUUAAAGACGGCACAGACUGAAAUUGACAAUCAGGUUGGACAAGACCGCCUAAUUGAUGAAUCCGAUUUGGCUCAACUUCCUUACAUCAGAUGCAUCAUCAAUGAGACAUUGCGGAUGCAUCCAGCAGCCCCUUUACUUGUGCCUCACCUUUCAUCAGAAGAGUGCAAAGUUGCAGGCUAUCGAGUUCUGCGUGGAACAAUCCUAUUAGUGAAUGCAUGGGGGAUACAUCAUGACCCUAAGGUAUGGGAGGAUCCAGAAAAGUUCAAUCCUGAUAGAUUUAUAGGCUUUGAUAGUGUCAAAGAGGGCUGCAAGUUUAUUCCGUUUGGAUCAGGAAGGAGGGGUUGCUCUGGUGAGAACCUAGCAAUUCAUGUCAUUGGAUUGGCACUAGGCUCACUUCUUCAAUGCUUUGAGUGGGAUAAGCCCAAUAGUGAGAUCAUCGAUAUGAGCGAAGGCACUGGAUUCACAAUUUCACCAAAGGUUCAGCCGCUAUUAGCAAAAUGUUUUCUACAACCACACAUGGUUAAACUUCUUUCUGAAAUAUGAGAUUCUACUAAUGUACGCCAUCAUAAUUCCACAUGAAUAACUAUGCAUUUUUAAGAUCCAAUUUUCUUAUUCUAUCAUUUAGCAACGAAACCUUAUAAUAACAAAUACGAAAAAACAAAAAGGAAUCGUGCAGGUAAGAAGAGGUGCAAAUCAUUUUUUGAAGCAAGAUAUAGCAAAGCAUAAGGAACACCAUACAACAUAAGUUCCAUGAUAGUAACUAUAGUACUGCAGAGGAUUCAGUUGUUAACAAAGCAUAUUGAUUCUUAGAGCUGGCAUUAUCACCCGAACUUUCAUCAAACAGAUAGUAUGCAUGUAUAACACUAACCAACUAGCAUCAGAUUAUCAAUAAUCGCAAAGCGUCUCUAAUAUCAUAGGGCAAUCCGCGACUGAAACUUUGAAUAGUCGAUUCUAGUUUAGCGAGUUUGAUUUCUGGUAUGGUCGCUCAACUAAUACUUAUUA